rnacentral:rRNA from 1 species
GAUGAACGCUGGCGGCGUGCCUAAUACAUGCAAGUCGAGCGAACGGACGAGAAGCUUGCUUCUCUGAUGUUAGCGGCGGACGGGUGAGUAACACGUGGAUAACCUACCUAUAAGACUGGGAUAACUUCGGGAAACCGGGGCUAAUACCGGAUAAUAUUUUGAACCGCAUGGUUCAAAAGUGAAAGACGGUCUUGCUGUCACUUAUAGAUGGUUCCGCGCUGCAUUAGCUAGUUGGUAAGGUAACGGCUUACCAAGGCAACGAUGCAUAGCCGACCUGAGAGGGUGAUCGGCCACACUGGAACUGAGACACGGUCCAGACUCCUACGGGAGGCAGCAGUAGGGAAUCUUCCGCAAUGGGCGAAAGCCUGACGGAGCAACGCCGCGUGAGUGAUGAAGGUCUUCGGAUCGUAAAACUCUGUUAUUAGGGAAGAACAUAUGUGUAAGUAACUGUGCACAUCUUGACGGUACCUAAUCAGAAAGCCACGGCUAACUACGUG